rnacentral:rRNA from 1 species
UCCCUUAGUAGCGGCGAGCGAACAGGGAAAAGCCCAGCACUGAAUCCUGUGUUCAAAUUGAGCAUUUGGAAAUGUAGUGUUUAGGAGAAUCCAUUAUUUUUAGAUUGUGCAUAGCGUCCAAGUCCUUCUUGAACGGGGCCAUAACCCAUAGAGGGUGCUAGGCCCGUAGUGACCAGUGCCCUUCUAAAAUGGAUCUCUCCUUAGAGUCGGGUUGCUUGAGAGUGCAACCCUAAGUGGGUGGUAAACUCCAUCUAAGGCUAAAUAUAACCACGAGACCGAUAGCGAACAAGUACCGUGAGGGAAAGUUGAAAAGAACUUUGAAGAGAGAGUUCAAUAGUACGUGAAACCAUUCAGGGGUAAACCUGAGAAACCCGAAAGAUUGAACGAGGAGAUUCAGCGUAUCUCAAUUUCGGUCAUGAAUGGUUUGUGUGACAAAAUUUUGACUUGUCAUAAUUUUGCACCAGCUAUUUAUGUAUAUCGUUGUUGAAUAUGUGCACUUCUCCUCUAGUAAAACGUCGCGAUCCGUUGAAUAUUGAUCUAAGAAUUUCAAUGUAGUCUGUUCAAAUUUUUAAUUUGUUCAAACUUGAAAUAUCUGAUCAAAUUAUUCGACGGUAUCAAUUCAAUUAAAAAUGUGACAAGUCGCUUUUUUAAGAGCGUUUGAUAUUAUAGCAAGCUAAUACGUGUGUUUCGUAUUCGGAUUUAAUGCCGAUGCUAAGCCCGGAUUGCUGUUAGUUAUAAUAUCUCAAACAGACCUUGUAACAAUAAUAUAACACAAAUCAGCGACGCUAUAGUUUUGGGUACUUUCAGGAC